GAGAGUUUGUUUAUUUACCGGUGGCAUGAUAAAUUUAUCGGUAAGUAAACAGAUUGCCGGCAGGGUACAAUAGGCGAGAAGUGGUAAAGAUGUGAAGGGGUAGAUGGUUGUGUUGACAUAUGCGAAUCGUUCAAGCCAUUUUAGCUUUCCUCCCUUGAAACCAUACCAUGCAGGGCAAUGAUGACUAAAGAAAAUUUCAACAGAACCGAGUGCCCAUCGAAGGACUUGGUUUAGUCGAUCCGAUAGAUUGAUGGGAGCUGAACCCUUGAAUGC
rnacentral:lncRNA from 1 species